rnacentral:tRNA from 1 species
ACUUUAAUAGCUUAUAUAGAGCAUGACACUGAAGAUGUUAGGGAGACUUUUUGUCUUAGAGUA